UUAUUAAUAAGAUCUGCUCAAUGAAAAAUUAAAUAGCCGCAAUUAGUGCUAAGGUAGCAUAAUCAUUUGUCUUUUAAAUGAAGACUAGAACAAAAGAUCUAACAUUUUAAUCUAUUUCUUUAUUAAAAUAUUCCAAAUUCUCUUAAAUGUAAAAAGACAUUUAUAAAAAAGAAAGACGACAAGACCCUAUUGAACUUAACUUUAGUUUUACUGGGGCAGUUAAUUAAUUAUUAUUUUAAUAUAAAUAAUAUUUUAAUUAUCCAAUAAUAUCGAAUCAUCCAGUUACCAUAGGGAUAACAGUGCAAUUAAAUUUUAGAGUUCUUAUCUAAAAUAUAGAUUACAACCUCGAUGUUGAAUUAAUAACCUAAUUUAAAGCAACUUUUAAAAAAGGAAGUCUGUUCGACUUUUAAAAAAUUACAUGAUUUGAGUUCAGACCGGUAUAAGCCAGGUCGGUUUCUAUCUUCUAAAGAAUUUCUUAUAGUACGAAAGGGCCUAAGAAUAUAAUUAAAUUUAUUAAUUGGCAGAAAAAUGCAUUAGAAUUAGAAUCUAAUAAAACUAUU
rnacentral:rRNA from 1 species